ACUGUAUACUCCGUGAAUUCAGCUGGUGUGGAUAUUUUGGGCUUGGUUGAAUGGGUUAGACACUGAGGUAUACUGAGCUGUAUGUCCCAGUCAAUUUGGUUGGGAUGCACGCUACGCUUAUCAUGCGUUGUGCGCCUCAGUUGUUUAUCUGCCCCCUCAUCAGUGCAAUUUCACGGGGUGAUCACCACGACCGGCGUUGCUGCCUGGCUGUUUUGGUCAAACUGCCCUUUCACCGUCCAUGUGGCGUUGUUUGGUCGGGAUGGCAGGUAACUCGUUAGCUUGCUUCAGUUUGCUCUCGGGUGUUUACAGCUGGCCAAACUGGUACUGUGCAGCACGUCGGAGAUAUCGGCUCGUUGUGCGUACUCGCGCAUCCUAUUUUCCAGAGGAUCCUGGUUUGAUUAUUGUAUUGCCUAUUCAGACAGGUCCAAUAGUAUCCAGGUUCCUAUUGGUUAUUGUUUGCGUGAGCGGCACCAUGAAAGGCCAAAAGUCUGUGGUGUUGUGGUAGACUAUCCACCUGACCCGUCUUGAAACACGGACCAAGGAGAGUAACAUGUGCGCGAGUCAUUGGGCACUACGAAACCCAAAGGCAGAGUGAAAGUGAAGGUCUGACGUUUUGUACAGACUAUGGUGAGAUCCUGUCGUUUCUCACACGUGGCACCACCAAGUAAUAUAGAGAGCGACAGGCGCAUCACCGGCCCGCCCCAUGGCGUAGACAUGGUCAUUUUGUACUCGUGCAUCGUCGGGGCGGAGCAUGAGCGCACAUGUUGAGACCCGAAAGAUGGUGAACUAUGCUUGCGCAGGUUGAAGCCAGAGGAAACUCUGGUGGAGGACCGCAGCGAUUCUGACGUGCAAAUCGAUCGUCAAACGUGAGUAUAGGGGCGAAAGACUAAUCGAACCA
rnacentral:rRNA from 1 species